rnacentral:tRNA from 1 species
GCGAGAGUAGUUCAGUUGGCUAGAACGUCACUUUGCCAAAGUGAAGGUCGCGGGUUCGACUCCCGUCUCUCGCU